GCUGUGGAUCUGCUCAGUCGGUAGAGCACGAGACUCUUAAUCUCAGGGUGUUGGGUUUGAGCCCUGCGUUGUGCA